rnacentral:rRNA from 1 species
AUACGUAGGUGACAAGCGUUAUCCGGAUUUACUGGGCGUAAAGGGCGUGUAGGCGGUCUUGCAAGUCAGAAGUGAAAUUCCUGAGCUCAACUCGGGCGCUGCUUCUGAAACUGCAGGACUUGAGUGCUGGAGGGGAUAGCGGAAUUCCUAGUGGAGCGGUAAAAUGCGCAGAUAUUAGGAGGAACACCAGUGGCGAAGGCGACUUACUGGACUGUAACUGACGCUGAGGCGCGAAAGUGUGGGGAGCAAACAGGAUUAGAUACCCUGGUAGUCCACACUGUAAACGAUGAAUGCUAGGUGUAGGGGGUAUCGACCCCUUCUGUGCCGCAGUCAACACAAUAAGCAUUCCGCCUGGGGAGUACGGCCGCAAGGUUGAAACUCAAAGGAAUUGACGGGG